GGAGAUAGCUGUACACUGUAUGGGCAUCUCAGGAGUCUCAAGAGAGGUUUGUUCUGGUGACAUUGGGGACUCGCUGGUGCAAGCUGCCCCUAGAAACUCUACCUCAGCUUCCCCCUGAGUUCCCCCUAGAGUGUUGUGGUGUGUUUGUGGACUCCCGUGGAGAGAUCGGCUGGUCACAUCUACCUAUAGUUAGUGUGUAUCUAAUUUAACUGAGUUUCAGGGUGGUAAAGAGGGACACCAACACAUGCAACAUGUGUGAGCAAGACACUGUGAGCAAGACAAAGGAGCUGAUCGUGUAGUACAGGAAAAGGCGGGCUGAACAGGUCCUCAUUAACAUCAACGGGGCUGUAGUGGAGCGGGUCGAGAGUUUCAAGUUCCUUGGUGUCCACAUCACCAACGAACUAUCAUGGUCCAAACACACCAAGACAGUGGUGUAGAGGGCCCAACAACAUCUUUUUCCCCCUCAGGAGACUGAAAAGAUUUGGCAUGGGUCCCCAGAUCCUCAAAAGGUUCUACAGCUGUACCAUCGAGAGUAUCCUGACCGGUUGCAUCACCGCAUGGUAUGGCAACUGCUCGGCCUCCAACCGCAAGGCACUACAGAGGGUAGUGCGUACGGCCCAGUACAUCACUGGGGCCACGUUUCCUGCCAUCCAGGAUCUCUAUACUAGGCGGUGUUAGAAGAAAGACCAAACAUUUUUCAAAGACUCCGAUCACCCAAGUCAUAGACUGUUCUCUCUGCUACCGCACAGCAAGCGGUACUGGAGUGCCAAGUCUAGGACCAAAAGGCUCCUUAAAACAGCUUCUACCCCAAAUCGUAAGACUGCUGAACAAUUGAUCAAAUUGCCGCACCCCCCUUUUGUUUUUACACUGCUUCUUCUCGCUGUUCAUUAUAUACUAAUCACUUCACUUUACCCUUACCUACAAAUUACCUCCACAUUGACUCGGUAC
ensembl:lncRNA